rnacentral:rRNA from 1 species
ACAUACCUAUACGUUGCCUCGGCGGAUCAGCCCGCGCCCCGUAAAACGGGACGGCCCGCCGCAGGACCCACAAACCCUGAAUUUUAUUGUAACUUCUGAGUUUAAAAAACAAAUAAAUCAAAACUUUCAACAACGGAUCUCUUGGUUCUGGCAUCGAUGAAGAACGCAGCAAAAUGCGAUAAGUAAUGUGAAUUGCAGAAUUCAGUGAAUCAUCGAAUCUUUGAACGCACAUUGCGCCCGCCAGUAUUCUGGCGGGCAUGCCUGUUCGAGCGUCAUUUCAACCCUCAAGCCCCCGGGUUUGGUGUUGGGGAUCGGGCUGCGGUUCUACCGCGUCCCGGCCCCGAAAUCUAGUGGCGGUCUCGCUGCAGCCUCCAUUGCGUAGUAGCUAACACCUCGCAACUGGAACGCGGCGCGGCCAAGCCGUUAAACCCCCAACUUUCUGAAUGUUGACCUCGGAUCAGGUAGGAAUACCCGC